rnacentral:lncRNA from 1 species
ACGACAUAUGUGCUUGCUCAUAAGGGUAGUGUUGCCAUUUUACUUCCAAUUUUACACAAAAACCACAACUUCAUCCACUUUUUAUCUUAACACGCGUCCCUUCAGGCUUCCAUCUUCCUCCACCUUGGUUGCUUCCUGUUCUGCUCGCUGAAGUUUACCGCUUUGCUUCUGCUUGAUGUCGCUUUUUCAAUUCAGGUGAGUAUCUUCUGAAUAGAAGAAUCCAAAUUCUGGAAAAAAUCUAAUCCAACAUUUUUGUCUGUUAACUUUUAAAAAAAUGCAUGUUAAAAUUUGGCUUCUUUAUACCUUUACUCAGCCGCGAUUUCUGAUUGUCCUACGUUUUUGGAGUUACGUAUAUAGGCAGUUGACGAUUUUUCCUUCUCGGGAGAACCCGACUACUUCAAAAAAUCUAACCCACCAUUUUUGGGGAUUGAUAUAGUAAGAAAUAGAAUGGUCAAAUUUCACUUCUUUAUGCUUUUACUUAGUUGCAAUUUACUGAUUAUUCUUGGUUUACUGGAUUUUUUGUAUUUUUGUUGUCUGUGGAUUCAGUGUUCCUAUUUCUCCCUAAUCCUACACUCAGUAGUUAUUUGAAAAAAAACAAUCAUAUUUCUCCUUCAGUGCUUCUCCUAUGCUUAAAAAAACUUUGCUCUUGAAAUAUCAUCCUCAGUCUUGUGCUGUAAUGAUAGCUUUUCCUUUUCAAUUUAACUCUGUUUUGUAAGAAUUGAUUAAGUUGAAAUAUUUAAUAUUGUUAUCUUGAAAUUAAAGGGAAAGGCUUACUACCUUUUUAAUUAGUUCUUGACUACAACUUACAUUAAGGGGUGUCAAAUAGACGGGUUGAAUUGAAAUUAUGUCAGCUGAAUGAGCUAAAUCAAUAAAUGAGCGUGUUGUAACCCGAAAAGUUCAUCUUAGCAGAUUAGUACUAGCUAACAUCAGAUAGGCACAAUGGCAACUCUAUUUGGCAAUGACGUCUUGAAGUUCAAGAAUCUAAAGCGUCUACUUCCAUGAAAGAUUUUCUAAAGUAUCUAUCUCCUAAAGUUUGAUCGUCCACCAACUGAACAGGUAAAUUGUUGAAGAUGCAACAAAAUCUGGACCAAGGAUAGUUUCAUCAUUUGGUGUCCUUUUGGGUUUUCGCGUGAUUUAAACACAGUAGCAACUCACGCUCUUCCCACUGACAAUUACCAAGGAGAAAAAAUGGGCACUCCUUCUUCCCUCUUUGCUUCCUUCUUUGGUUUGCUGUUUCUUUAUCAUUCUUAAUUCAAACUUUUCUAUUUCUUUUUAUACAUCAAACAUCUAUUGUCCACAUAUAGCUGGUCAUAAGAGUUGUUGUCGAGGUCCUAUUUUGUUUUCACCUUCAUGUAUUGAUUUCAUUUGCUUCAAUUUGACUUGCUAGAGUAUAUAUAUAGCAUGUUGUUGCUUUACCGUUGCGUGGUUGGUCCUACAAUGAGUAGCUUUAGAUCUUCCUAAAGACUAGGCUGUUUUGGUCAUUUCAAUAAGCCUUCUGAGGCACUAGCUGUCCUGUAUCUAACUCUUAACAUGGUUGUGCUUUGUUUUGUUUCUAGCUGUGUGUGUUUUGGUUUUUCUUGCUCCUCAUACUUACCUUCGUAUGUUCCUAUGAUCAAUCAGCUUCUUCUACGUCUUACAUGAGUUUUCAAUCUGUUUUCUGUCUGAGGUAAGUCCUCAAUCUGUUACUGUGAUGGUGUUUAGAUGUUAAAGAAAAUUAGAGUGAUAGUUUUGCAGGUCUUCUGCUGACCACCUCAAGUUCAAUUCACCCUGGACUUGAAAGCUAGAUCUUAAGAAAAAUGUAUUAACUUUCACCUCCCAAAGUAAAACAGAAAGUUUAUGAUUUCCUUAUAUAAAAUAGUAAAGGGGCAAUCCAGUGCACAAAACAUCCCGUAUUAGCACAAUCUGACGGAUGUGAUGUAUAAAUCGUAAUCGUUAACUAUCUUUCUAAUUAUGUAUGCUAACAGGUGUUUAGACAUCACAUAAAAUUAGGUGUCAAGACAAAGCUUUACAAUUGUUACUGCCAUGGUGCUUAGAGAUGAGAAAAAAUAGCAAAAUGCUAAAGCUCUUUUACUUUCUUCAAGCUCCGUACAGACUUGGGAAACCAUGCUGAUAUCUUUGGUGCAAGGCCAAAGAUAGUUUCAGUUUUCAAGUUGGAAUGAAUUACCAAUAUAAAAAACCUGCUUGCGAAGUAGAUAACAAUUGUUGCGCUAGCUUGCCGUCAAAGUACUGAAAACUCCUUAAGGUAUUGAUAUUUACUGAUCAAUUUUGAAAACUUUUUCGUUUGUUAAAACAGAUUGGUCUAGUUUAAUGAUAGAAUUACCAUGGAUCAAGAUUGACUCACUAUUGAUCCCUUUCAAUAUCAUACGUACUAAUGUUUUUCUAAAUUCUCUAAGUACAUUAAGUUGGAAUGUUUUUCACCUAUAAUGAUUGGAUAAGUGUUAAACUAUUAAUAACACCCUCAACAUAGGAACAAUUCGUAUUCAUUUUUACAUUUUGAUCCAUUAUAGUUGGGGCAGAAGAUAGAGUAGAUAUUGUACAAGUAUAAUAACAAUUAAAUCUGGAUGAAUUUUGCGAGUAAUCACUUUCUGUUCACCUUCCGAAACUGCUUAACUGAUCAUUAUCCGACUCAGAUGGAUUGAAAAAUAUAAGGAAUUAUGAAACUUUGGUUAUAUUUAGCAAGAAAAUCUUUCACUACUUCUCCAGACCUGGUGUUCAGCUUCGGCGAUCACCUAAUCCCAAACUUCGUUUCUAUCUUCCAUUACUUCAUUAAACUCCUUUCCCAUCUCAAAUGAGUGUUAAAUUUGUUACCAUUGUUCUGUUUUAAUUUUCUCCUUCGUUUUGGACUGCUGCAAUACCUUUUAAUUUUUAUUUUGUAUCAUGUUAUGAAGAUUCACAUUUUUAUUCAUGUAUGAACCGAGGCUUUUGACGGGCUGAAUAUAUAAGUUCAUUCUGCAUACUUUCCUCAGAACUAGGUAAUUUGCCUUUACAUUAGUUGUUUAGCUUACUUUAUCAGCCAAUAACUUUUAUGUACCUAUACUUUAUAAUAACCUAGCUGAUGAUUGAUUCCUAUACAUAUUGAG